rnacentral:rRNA from 1 species
CCUACGGGGGGCUGCAGUGGGGAAUAUUGGACAAUGGGGGCAACCCUGAUCCAGCCAUGCCGCGUGUGUGAAGAAGGCCCUCGGGUUGUAAAGCACUUUCAGUGAGGAAGAACGCCUGGUGGUUAAUACCCAUCAGGAAAGACAUCACUCACAGAAGAAGCACCGGCUAACUCCGGUGCCAGCAGCCGCGGUAAUACGGAGGGUGCGAGCGUUAAUCGGAAUUACUGGGCGUAAAGCGCGCGUAGGUGGCUUGAUAAGCCGGUUGUGAAAGCCCCGGGCUCAACCUGGGAACGGCAUCCGGAACUGGCAAGCUAGGGGGGAGGAGAAGAAGGUAAGAAUCCCGGGGGAGCGGGGAAAAGGGGAGAGGUCGGGAGGAAUUACAGUGGCGAAAGGGGCCUUCCGGACUGACACUUGCACUGGGGUGGGGAAGGGUGGGUAGCAAACAGGAUUAGAUACCCUAGUAGUC